UUCUACAGCCAAAUUUCCCUGUAGCCCAAGACUGGUUACUUAUUGAAGCUAAGCAGGGCUGAGUCUGGUUUGUACCUGGAUGCGAGACCACAUGUAAAACUAGGUUGCUGUUUGAG
rnacentral:rRNA from 1 species